rnacentral:rRNA from 1 species
AGCGAACGCUGGCGGCAGGCCUAACACAUGCAAGUCGAACGAACUCUUCGGAGUUAGUGGCGGACGGGUGAGUAACACGUGGGAACGUGCCUUUUGGUUCGGAAUAACUCAGGGAAACUUGUGCUAAUACCGAAUGUGCCCUUCGGGGGAAAGAUUUAUCGCCAUUAGAGCGGCCCGCGUCUGAUUAGCUAGUUGGUGAGGUAACGGCUCACCAAGGCGACGAUCAGUAGCUGGUCUGAGAGGAUGACCAGCCACACUGGGACUGAGACACGGCCCAGACUCCUACGGGAGGCAGCAGUGGGGAAUCUUGCGCAAUGGGCGAAAGCCUGACGCAGCCAUGCCGCGUGAAUGAUGAAGGUCUUAGGAUUGUAAAAUUCUUUCACCGGGGACGAUAAUGACGGGACCCGGAGAAGAAGCCCCGGCGAACUUCGU